UGCUGAGAAUUUUUGGAUCUAUGAAAAUCAGGGAUAUUGGCUUGUAAUUUUCUUUUUCUGUAGUGGCCUUUUAUGGCUUUUAUAUAAAGAUAAUGCUUGCCUCGUUAAAUGAGUUGGACAGUGUUCCUUCAUUUUCAAGUUUUUGGAAGACUUUGAGAAGGAUUGGCAUUAAUUUUUUAAAGGCUUGGAAGAAUUCACUGUUGAAUCCAUCAGCUCUGUUCCUGGGCUUUUUUUGCGGGGGAGGUUUUUCAAAUUUUUUAAAUUGCAUCUAUCGCUUUGCUUGUUAUUCACCUUUUCAGAGUUUCUACUUCUUCGUGAUUCAGUCUUGUGAUGACGCCCAAUGGAUACCUGCACUUGUGAAGUCCCUGUCUCAUCGAUCUAAGCGAAGCUAUAUGUGACUUGCUUUGGCCAGUGGCCAUUACCAGAUGAGAUGCCCGCGUACACAGGAAAAGCCCUUUUGAAUUGGGGCUUGGACAUUCUUGCUCUUGAUAACACUGCUGCCAUGUAGAAGCCUGGGUUAGCCCAUCUGAGGACACGACCAUGAAGAGCAGACAUGAGCCUUCCUAGCUGAGGCCACAAGCUGACACACCAGCUGAUUACAGCCACAUGAGUGAACUCAGGCAAGUCAACAAGUGAACUGACAAGGCGGGCUUAGCUGGAAUCAUAGGCAAAUAAAUGAUUGGUCUUUUAAAUCACCAAGUUUUACGGUGGCUUAAUUAACUGCAAUAAAUAGAUACAGCUUGCAAUCCAGGGCAAUUACGGUAUGUCUUCAAAUGCAUUUCUGUAAUUGACCUAGUUUUCCAAGACUUCAGGAUAUAGUCAUCUAUAAAUACAAUUACAAUCUCAUUCUUUGUAGCACUCCCGUAUUCCCUCCAAAGGUCUAUUCAACACAUUGUAAACUUCAUGAUUUGCUUUGCUCUUAUUUUAUUUUAACUGUUUCAGGAAACUAUGUGUGAACUUAGUAUAAUAGCUACAAGAGAGUUCAUACAGGCCUUAAAAUUACUUAAUUUAUUGAGCUGUAUAUUUUUAAUAUGUAUUCUUUUCUUCAUGUAUAUUUUUACUUUAUAUUUAAAAAAAAUGUUUACCUAGAUGGUAGCCAGAACGACAAGAAAAUUUAGAACAGCAUUUUCUAAACCAGAGGUUGGCCACCUUUUAAGAGAUAUGUGUCAUGGUUUUAGCAACCAAACUGCUUCUUGACUUUUAAUGACAGAGGGUAAAGAAUAUAUGACUAUGUUGUGACCAUCAAUUCUCCUGACAGCAGGAGCUGCCACAGAAGGUAUAAAGGAAAUUGUGUAGGAGGUACGAAAUAUUACCCCCACACUCCCCUGGCAUGCUGACUUUGGCACAUACAUCAUAGGACCUUGGUUACUGCACGGAAUCCUCAAAUAUAAGUGGAGUUGUGGGAAAUUGUGUGUUGAAAAGCACAGGCCAGCAUGGUUUUAAUUUAAUGUCUUUUUUUUAAAAGAAAAUUACAUGCUACAUAACAGUCAUGAAAAGGUUUAGUGGGGUAUGGGGUUUGUUUUGGGAACCCAGAUCCUGAUAACUUUUACUUGGAAU
rnacentral:lncRNA from 1 species